rnacentral:rRNA from 1 species
CGCGUAGGCGGUUUCGUAAGUCCCGUGUGAAAGCCCCCGGCUCAACCGGGGAACUGCACGGGAAACUGCGAGGCUUGAGUUCGGGAGAGGGAAGCGGAAUUCCGGGUGUAGCGGUGAAAUGCGUAGAUAUCCGGAGGAACACCAGUGGCGAAGGCGGCUUCCUGGACCGAUACUGACGCUGAGGCGCGAAAGCUAGGGGAGCAAACG